GUAAAAGUUAAAAAAAAAAAAAAGAAAGAAAAGAAAAAAAAGAAAAAAGAAAAAAGAAAAGAAAAGCAGAGAAAAUUUCAGAGAAAGACAAAGGGCUAUUGUUACUAUGUUUUCACCAAAGAAUAAAGAAUUAUUGUAACCCGGCUUACAAUACAACUCCCCCCUCCCCCUCCCACCCCCUCUCUCUCAGCUAACACACACCCCUUCAAUGGCAGUGAUUUUUUUCCCCAACCUUAUUUCUGUACAUAAGUGUCAUCUGUCUUUUUUCUUUUAGGCACAACAUGAUCCUCCCAUGGCCAUUUCGGAGUAGAGAUAACCCUGACCCAGUAACCAUGGCAAUAAAGGGCGUAGAACUCCGAGGUGGUGAUGGACCCACUGUUCCUGUGAGUAAGCUCUCAGCCCUGCUCCCUAAGUAGCCCCAGUAUGCUCACCUGCUCGCCCCUUCAAACCUGGGUGGAUUCAUUACUUUGGCCUUCUGUGGAUCUCCUAGGGGAGUGAGUAGACGUUUGUUCCAGUGCAAGAGAGGCAGCUAAAACCAACAAGCCCAGAUCAUGGGCAAGGAUCCAGGACACAAUGUGGGAAAGGAAGACCCAUGUCAGGAAGCAGACACUCAUAUUCUUAUAUAUAAUCAAAACAAUUCUGAGAGCCAGGGUAGCAGCCUGAGACCGGAGUUUGAAAGGGAAACUGGAGAGCCUCUUCAGCACUACAGCCAGGCGAGUGAGCAUUAGUCACCACAGAGUACUUGUCACCACAGAGUACUUGUCACCACAGAGUACUUGUCUGCCACUUGAAGGAGAGGGGCACCGGUGCCUGUGAAGACGGGUGCCAAUCUUGUCUUUGUGGUUCUGACUCACAAAGGAAGACUAAGGUUGACAGUGAAAUGAAGAAGGGAAGAAACUUUUCAAACAGCCCAUCCCCACCCUAAUCACAGGUAAAUCUGGGAGUAUUCAAAGCUGAUCACCAACGGAAAUAUAGGAUGAUAUCAUUAUGCAGAAAGGCAGGUUCAUGAUAAGGCGGAGCCUAUCACUGGAUGAGAAGGAAGGGUAGGCAGGGGAAAGUCUAGGAAGGAAAGAGGAAGAGAAGUGGGAAAAAAAAUAAAGAAGGAGACGACAAAGCAGGAUGAUCCAGAUCCAGGUGGACUGGGUCAAUUUUAUCUUGUCUAGGUGGGCGGUUUAUAUCUUUAUUAAUUGGCAGUGAAUUUAUCGUGUGGAUGUAUUGUGGAUUGAGAAUUCAACUUAUAAAUCUAAUUGAUAAAUUACAAGUUUCUAGAACUUUGAUUUUUACCAGGCUACUGGGGACGUGAGCAAAGUUCCUGGUGGGCAGAACGACAGCCUGGCAAGGGUGGCUAUAGAACGCCUGGGGUUAGCGUGGCGUGGUGCCACAGUAGAGCGGUCUGCAGAAUGUGAUGUGUGUCAGGUGUGGUAACAGCCCACCAAGAGGACCAUGUGAGAAAGCAGCUGGCAGAGAGACAGACAGCGCACGGCUCCCGAGAAUCCACACAGAGUGGGAACACGCAGGUACCCACCGGUCAUUUUUUGAUUUUUUUACCCCAACAUGAACAUCAGUCACAGGAAUGGCAAAAUGCAUACUCAGCUCAACUGCUGACGAAGCAGGCCCCACACCGCUUAAUAAAAGUCUACCUGAAGAAGAGCGUUCUUGCAGGAUAUGUGAUCACACUUCAAACCCCAAGGUUGUGUUAUUUACUAAAAAAAUACCUGUUCCUAGUUGUGGUGUGACUUACCCUUAGUGCACACCUAUGGAGAAAUCCUGAGGAUUAAGGUUGCAGUCUGCCAUUGUCAGGACGUCUCUCUUGAGCUCGGUACAAAAUGGAGGAUUCCUUUUAACGGUAGGGCUUCUCCUUCUCUGACCUUGUCUAGGCAUCUUGAAACCCCCACACCAUCUUCCUGAGGAAUGUCACAUGGCAUUGGUAAGAUUACAGGUUCAGCUUCUCAUAAGAACCUGUCCAGGCAGCACUGGGAAUUUCUGGAAUUAUUCUUCAUGUAAGCGAGGCAUUCUGACGCACCCUAACCUGGAGCUAAUGAGCAUUAUUCACCCUAGAAAUUCCUACCUCCUUCCCCCAAAACUAUAAAGCCUUUGACUCUCUCCAAUUAAAGUUGAGCUGUUUCGCUGAAGCUGAUCCCAUAGUCAUUUCUGUCCUACUCACAGGCCAUCCAAACCCUUUUCUUUGACUCUGCUCCCUUUGCCCUCCUGGGAGAGAAGCGAGAGCCACACUCUCCUUUAAUCCGUGUUUGAAAGUUAUGUCAAAUUCAAUGGCAGAAAAAGUGAUGAAUCAGAGAAAGAUUUGACAGAAUAGGAUAUGCCCAAAUCUCAUGGGCAGAGAUAGGAAAGAGAAGCUACUUAAGAGAGCAGUCCGGGGUGGGGGGAAGAGAGGGAGGUGGCAGUUUUACCAGGACAGUUAUAGAGAGACAGGUUGCAGAGAGAGAACAAGCCAGACACAGGUGAAGUCACAAUGAGCGAGAAAAUAAGGUAGAGCCAGAUUAGAACAGAUUGUCAGAGCUGGUUUCGAGUUAAGCAGAGCAUCAAGAGAAGCCCAGAGAGGAGCAAGAUUGCAUCAGUCAGCUUAGAGAGCUUGAGACAGAACAUCAGAGUUGAACCAGCUAGGGGAUCAGAAAGAAGGAAGAGUGGGCUUACUCAGCAGCAAGUCACAGACGACGAGAUAAGAUUGUGUGGAAGCUAGAAGCUUCCAGAACUAGGCCUAGGUUGGCAGACUAAGGCAGUAAGCAGGAGAAUAAAAGACACUUUUACAGAUACAUGUUUGUUGUUUACUGUCUUAAAGUGUCAUGCCCCUCCCCACCCCACUCAACAAAAAAAAAAAAAAGAGAAAGUCUGUCCUGGAAUAAAUUAAUCUGAGCCGAGAAAAUAGGUCAGUGGCACCAUUCCUAACUAACGUGCCAGGAAGGGGCUUGGGGUUGGAUCCUUGGCACUGGACAUGAAGACGGGAAGAAAGAGGGUUGAAGAAAAAGCAAGAGAGGGGAGGGAAUGGAAAAGGGAGAGGAAGGAAAAGGAGGGGGGAAAAGAGGGUAUUCAGUUUCAGUUAUGAGACACACACUUAUAAUCCCAGUCUUAAGGAGCACAAGAAUCACAAGUUCAAGGCCAGCCUGGGAUCCAUAGUAGCAAGAUACUUCCCAACACAAAUAGACAAAUGAAAAGAUGACAUUGAAAGAUAACUUGUCCAGAUAGCAGAUAAUUAAAAAGAGAAAAAUAAGUACGUCCUAAUUUAUUAUACACAUACGCUAGUUUGUUACAUGUCAUUCUGAUUAAUUGAAGUCUGUGGUAGAAAGGGCACAGAAUCAGCAUCGGAGGAAAGAGUGUCAGAUGCACGUUCUAUGGAGGAAAAGUCAGAGAUAAAGUCUGAUCUGCUCAUCAGAGGACCCAACCAAGAGCGGACAUGGUGAGCUGAAUAGAAAUUCUCCAAAAAGCAUGUUGGAAAAAAAAAAAAGCCAGUAAGAACCUACAGCGAGCAUCUAAGCAAAGCCUUCCACAUCCCUGGGACAUCUCAAGGGUGACAUUCCCAACUGAAAUUAUUUCCUUUAAGCCAGUGGACCCCCCCCAUUCAUAUUUCCUAUGGAGAAGAUGAAUAUCUCAGCGUUAAAGUCUCUUUGGAGUCUUUAAAGGACUUUGUAGCCUGGCCUCUAUGAAGAAAUGUGCUGUUCUAUAAUCGACCUUGAUCCUGUGUGAUUGGCAAGUCCAGGGAGUGGCCAUUAGUGGGUGUUAAGCUUGCCACGCCCACCAACGCCUCCUUCAUAGCUCUAUGUACAACAGAUCACCACUUCCCUUUAGGUGUUUUUUUUUUUUUCUCUUUGAUUUCUUUUUUUGCCCAGAGGGGUUGGAGACCUUAAAGCCAGGGCUUCACACACAUGAACUAAUGCUCUAACACUGAGCCUCCACAUUUGGCUUCCUACCUACCUAAAAAUUAGAAGAUACAUUUUUAAAAAGAAGAAGAAAAAAAAAAACUCAGACUGAAGAGAAAUAAAACUUGUUACAAAUAAAAGCA